rnacentral:rRNA from 1 species
UACAGAGGUCCCAAGCGUUGUUCGGAUUCACUGGGCGUAAAGGGUGCGUAGGCGGUCGGGUAAGUCUGUUGUGAAAUCUCCGAGCUUAACUCGGAAACUGCAGUGGAUACUAUCCGGCUCGAGGAAUGGAGGGGAGACUGGAAUACUUGGUGUAGCAGUGAAAUGCGUAGAUAUCAAGUGGAACACCAGUGGCGAAGGCGAGUCUCUGGACAUUUCCUGACGCUGAGGCACGAAAGCCAGGGGAGCAAACAGG